GCGGAGGAAAAGAAACCAACAGGGAUUGCCCCAGUAACGGCGAGUGAAGCGGCAGCAGCUCAAAUUUGAAAUCUGGUCCCCUUGCGGGGCCCGAGUUGUAAUUUGAAGAGGAUGCUUCUGGCAAGGUGCCUUCCGAGUUCCCUGGAACGGGACGCCGCAGAGGGUGAGAGCCCCGUACGGUAGGACGCCGAGCCUCUGUGAAGCUCCUUCGACGAGUCGAGUAGUUUGGGAAUGCUGCUCAAAAUGGGAGGUAAACCCCUUCUAAAGCUAAAUACCGGCCAGAGACCGAUAGCGCACAAGUAGAGUGAUCGAAAGAUGAAAAGCACUUUGAAAAGAGAGUUAAAAAGCACGUGAAAUUGUUGAAAGGGAAGCGCUUGCGACCAGACUCGCGCCCGUCGGAUCAGCCGUCGCUUGUCGGCGGCGCACUCCGGCGGGCUCGGGCCAGCAUCAGUUCGCCUGGGGGGAGAAAGGCGGCAGGAAUGUGGCUCCUCGGAGUGUUAUAGCCUGCCGUGUAAUACCUCCGGGCGGACUGAGGACCG
rnacentral:rRNA from 1 species